UUUGAAAAGAGAGUUAAACAGUAUGUGAAAUUGCCAAGAGGGAAGCAUUUGGAGUUAGACUGACUUGGAGUUAAUCAGCUUGGUCUUUGGACUGGGUGUACUUGACUUCUAUGUCUGCCAAUAGCAGUUAGUCCUGAUGGAAAAAACUGAAGGGAAGGUAGUCCUUCGGGAUGUUUAUAGACCUUUGGAAAAUACAUUGGGAUUGACUGAGGAAUGCAGUAGAUGCUAUUAGGGUU
rnacentral:rRNA from 1 species